rnacentral:misc_RNA from 1 species
GAAAAGGUAGUUUAUUUUCUCAAGUUUAUAAUGUGAAGCCAGAAUGUUGUAGUUUUGAAAAUUAUGUAGCUUUGGUGUAAGUUCAACUUUGCCUGAAGUAUUAACUCUAAAAAAACAAAAAUAAUCUCCUUCCUUUUCCUUUCACAGCAGCAAUACUUUUCUUCUUCUCUCUUGAUUCUGUUUUCUUCCCCUCAAACCCAAACCACCACCAGCUACCAUUCUUAGCUGCUAGAAACCUCUGACCUUACAAGGGUGCUGUGGUGACAACUCCCCAAUAUUUGAUUCUCCCUUAUCUCUCUCUUUUUUAGUAAUUUCACUUUUUUCAUUUUUUAUUUCUGUUUCCCUCUCUCAGUUCUACUGUUAGGGCCUUCUCAGGGCUGAAGCAUCCUCCUCGACCUUCCAAGGAUGUUAGCAGCCAACACUUUGAAGGAAAAGAAAUGUGUUUCUGAGAUAGAAAUGCAUUUCACAAUUUCUGAAAAUUACAGAAAUGAGACCAGAACAUUUUGAGCCCAUUUCAGAAAAAUUUCUGAAAUGUAAAAAUGUGUGUAACCGUACGCUAACCUUUCUGUGCAUCAUAGACAAUAACUGGGAAAGAGUUUCAUUUUUUUAACACGUGUCUACUAUUAUAGACAUAUAUGGGUAAACUUAUUUCCAUGUUUAAAGAGGCUAGGCAAUAGGUACACAUACUAUUUUUCUGAUGAAUCCCUCACUCUAGACAUGACACAAUAACAAUAGCACAGUUAAUACCCCAGCCCUUUCAUCAUGGAUGUAUUCCUACUAAACAAGAAAAACACUCUCUCUGCCACAAUCAUUACAACCUUCCCGAACUGAAAUCCAUUAAUAUUCUCA